AUUUCAGGUACUCACAGCGAAAAGUAUGACGAUGAAUUAUAGGAAUUACGUCGUGAUGUCUGGUAGACAGACGUUUCGGAGGUGCUGUCUCCAUCCGGACAUUACCCUGAAACAUCGGCCAAUUUCUACCAGAGUACAAUGCGCAAUGUCCCAAAGACAGGAAAUUCAUGUUUGUAAAAUUAAUCAUUCAUGUAUGAAUAGAGGUGAUGGUGGUUAAGUUGGAUAAUAGCUAACGUUGUUAUCGACAAAGAAAUGGUUGUUACUAUGAAUUAAUACCAACUGCUACCGCCAGAUUGAUGUUGGGAAAGGAUGAUAUCAGGUUCUCACGGCUGCCUAAAAUAUGGUAGAAUAGUUCUUGGUUGGUGCUUCGUGUUGUGUUAGAAGCUUACCGGCGUUUGUUUUGGCCAGUUAUGUAUUAUAAUUUGGUUUUGUGCUGGCACUAACUAGCCUCUGCACUUGAUAUAACAGCAUUAAAUAACUUAUGAACCAUCAAACCAACCUACUUGUUACAAUUUAUGUGCUAGAUUUAUUCAAGUGAAUGAAUAAUAGGAGAAUUAUAACAUUUUAAAAGAAAAUUAGAGCUCUACUGAAAACUCAGACCAUAAAAUCUUUGGUGCUCAGAAAGAGGAUUAAUAUCAAACAAAAUUCCUACUGAUUAAGCCAAAAUCACUACAAUGGAGUGCAGCUGCCAAGUGAACUGACACAGAAAAUAACACCAGACACAUGGAAAGAAGAUUUUGAGGCCAGGUCAUUAAAUUGUCUAAUCUAUAAAUAAGAAGCAAAAUAUGUAUCUGUGAGACAAUAAACAAUAUCCAACAUGGC